rnacentral:tRNA from 1 species
AAAGAAAUUUAAUUGAAGCUGCUAACUUUGAUUUGGGGGAUUCUCCUUUCUUUU